ensembl:lncRNA
AAAAUCAUCCUACGGAGAACCAACUCAAUUGCACCAUGGAUGUGGGAUGGAUAUCACCAGAACUGUGUACUCAUGUUGUCAGACUAAAGGAUAGCAACUGGUUUGGCAUUGACUAAUCUUGCCACCUUGGUGUUUUUUGGCCUCUAUUGCUGCUGUGGAUCUGCCUCCAGCACAGCCAGAGAGCCGCCAAAGAAGCUACCACCACACAGCGAAACCCCAGGCUGACCGCUCAGGGCACACUGCAGAAGAGAGGGGGAUAUGUGAUCGUAUGAGUGGAUCAUGACGGGUGGAGUGUUGGAGGAGGUCCCCGAGAAGACAUGAAUUCUGGUUGACCUGUGGGCUGGACUCCAGCAAUCCAAGGCCCCUCGACCCCUUCCCUGUCCUAUGAAUGUACUUUCUCCCCGCUGUUCCCUUAGCAGGAGCCAUUUUCAAGGACGCAGCCUUAAGAGAACAACGUGUUAUUGAGACCAUCUGGAUGCUAUGUGCGACUGAACCCAAUUAAGGCCUCUGUAGAAACUUUAAAGAUUCUGGUGGGCAGGUGCGGAGAUCUACUCGUCUUGCAACUGCCGAAGACAAGCCUCGAAUAUUUCUCCAGCCUGGAUCUGAAGACAUUAAGGAAGUGAUGACCGUGUUUGAAGGAAUGGCAGACAAGGAAAACAAGGAGAGGGGGAUGGGUGAUAUGUUGGAAAUUUUACGUUGAUUCAAGAUUAGUUGACCUUAGUUUAAAUCUCAUAUUUUUCUUCUCAAAUGAUUACAUAGUUUCCUACUUAAUAAUGACCAGUGCAGAAAGGCUGAGAGACCUUUGAAGUUCAAUUGAUAAAUUAUCUCCAGACCUUGUAAAACUAUCACCAUCCAGCUGGCUUACUGUAUAUUCAAAUUCAAUUUGGGACAAUAAGAAAAUUGUGGCCAUGUGUCGACUUUAGUGCUGUGUGUGUGUGUGUGUGUGUGUGUGCAUGCGUGCACAUGGGGUGCAUAUGCAUGUAUGAUUGUUAGUAGUAUGUGUGUGUGUAUCUGAUUGGAAAUACGGCCAGAUGAAAAAACUGAGCCUAAAUGAUGAAUGCUCAACAGGAGGUUUCUAUGAUCCAGGAACCCAUCUGACUUGAAGCUGUUAAUUUUCUCUGGUAUGUUCCAACGCACUGCCAGGGACAUAUAGGGUUUCUCCGUAGUGAAUGCUAUUAUGCUAUUUCUUAUUCUGCUGCAAGGAGUAGAGGCAAAGACCACAGGAUCUUUGAGAAUAAUUAUUUCUUAGUCAUAUCGGAAAAGAGACUACAUUUUUCUGUGCACGGAUGAGUUUUCUUUCAUCCCAGUGGCCUUCUUUCAAAGCUUUGAGAAUUUUAGCAAGUGGUCUGUCCCCCCCUCCAGCUAGCACAUACAGGCGUGAUGCUGUUUUUAUUAUUAUGGUCUUUUAUAAUCUUUUUAGCACUCUCUCUCUCUCUCUUUCUAUUUUAUAUACAAUAAAAUUACUAUCUACCUUUUAUGGUAAAAUCCACAGUUUGUGUUUCACUUUUCCGCUAAAAACAUUUCUGUUUCUCUCCCUUCCCAAAUUCACUGUUCUGGAAAUUGAAAAUUUACUUCUCUGUUAAACUGCAAGACGUGCCAAACCCCAAAUAGCUCAGGGAUCAUAACUCAGAAGCUGCUGGUUUAGUCGCUUGCAUGCAAAGUCUGUAGAAGUAACCGUGGGCCCGGGGAUAAGUUUCUCAGGACAGCCAGGAAACCCAGCAGGAAGAUACUGAACUUGCCUGAAAGAACUUUCCAGAAGAAUUGUCAGGGAAACUGCUUCAUAUUUUAAACUCUAUGGUAACGCAGACUGCCUCUUUUAGGUAGGUGAAACCUCCUUUUGCAAGUAGAUAAGUGAUUUCUUGGGAAAUAGCACUUGCUUCCCACCUUUUCUUAGGAUUUAAGAGGACUGAACUGGGAUUUAAGAGAUUCAAAUUCUAGUCCCUGCUGAAAAGUUAACUACCUGUGACCUUGGGAAAAUGGCACACUCAGCCUGUUUCCUCAUCUGUAACUUGAGGGGUUUGGACGGAAUGAUUUCUAUGGCUUGCUCCAGCUUUAAAAUCCUGCAAUUCUACGCUAGGGUUCCUUUCCUACAUCCUGCCCCCCCAAAACAAAAAGGGUCAGGAGAAGUGUGUUUUUGUUUUGCUUUGUUUGUGAGUGGGUAUAUUCUUUAUUUUAUUAUUUCCUCGCUUAUAAAAAUAGAAAUGAAUCCCCCUGUGGUCUGUAAGAAGAUUUCAUAUUGAGUGCUACGUGUUACAGCCAGCUUUCCAUUUUAAUCCUCUAAAAAUAGCUGUUAAUACAAAGCAAGUGUAGAUUGUUACAAAGCGCCCUUGCCACCCCACAACCCCCUCACCGACUUGCAACAUUCUGAGUGCACUGCCCUCUAGCCACACAAUUUUCAGCUGUUAAGGAACUGGAGUUUAAAUACAGCCUGACAACAGGGUCUAGUAUUGUAACGGUAUUUUGUGACUUCUUUUGUUUGUUUGUUUUUUGGGUUUUUUUGAGGAAGAUGAGCCCUGAGCUAACAUCUGCUGCCAAUCCUUCUCUUUUUGCCGAGGAAGACUGGCCCUGAACUAACAUCCGUGCCCAUCUUCCUCUACUUUAUGUGUGGGACGCCUACCACAGCAUGGCUUGACAAGUGGUGCCAUGUCAGCACCCAGAUCCUAACUGGCAAACCCCAGGCCGCUGAAUCGGAAUGUGCAAACUUAACCACUGCACAACCGGGCCGGCUGCCGUUUUGUGACUUCUUGAUAUGUCACCCUAUGGUGCCUGGAGUUGCAGUAAGAAGAAGCUGUGAUAAAUAACUGUAUCUCCAAUUCUAUGGUGAUUGCUCUUCCUUUCAAUAAUUUCUCCUUGUGGGAUAAAAUUAGCUCAUGCGUUUUAAAUAUAUAAAUGUGGACAUUCUUGCUAAUAAAUGUGUAACG